UGGGUUUGGGGUUAAUGGGUAUAAUGGGGGAGGGGAAAACGAGGGGCACUGGGGGGUGGAACGGACGAGGCAGGAGGAAACAAGGCCAGCUGAGAGAGGGAAAGGGGGCAGUGCGGAGUGGCAGGGAAGGAAGGCAAAGAGAGUUCGUGAUUAUUGUAACACCUGCUAUCCCCCUGCCUCCUUAGUCCCGGUGCAGGCGAGGGAUACAUUUUUCCUUAGGGCCGUGGGGACCAGAGGGUGGGAAUCUCGAGGCAAGCUUGGUCUCUAGGUAGAGCAAGGGGAUUGUUCUUACCGUCUAAGCAGCAGCAAGCGUGUGCUGGAAGAGUCAUUCCUGAAACUGUGAGGGACAAGGUAAGAUUUUUGAGAACAUCUGAAUCUGCCAUUACGUUCAAGGAAACCAAGGAAUUACAACUUUCAGUGUAUUAUUGGAAAGCACCAACUACCUCAGCAGCAGGUACAACAUGGGCUCCAACGUCUCGAAGAGGGAGCAGGGAAAAGGAUCUCAAAAACUUGUCUUCAAUGAGGAUAAUAAUAGCUUGCAUUUCUAUAAUAUUUUAUGGUUAUAAAGUACUUUUUAUUAUGUGAUCACCAAAGUAACAUUUCACUUGAUCUUCACAACAAUCCUGUGAGGUGGGUAAAGCAACUAUUAUUAUCUCCAUUUUACAGAUGAGAACAUUGAGGCUUAGGGGGAUAGCUAGAACUAGUGGCAGAAAAGAUGUAGAAUUCGGCUCUCCCAACUUCUUUCCAUCAUACCAGGUUGCUUCUCUUCUGUUGAAAUGGCAAAGGAUUGGAGCCAGUUAACUGCAGUCUAGUGUCACUGCCACUAGUUGUAUGACCUGCAGCAGGUUCCUAAAUGUCUCUGUCUCUAUUUCCUUGUCCCCAGGUGCCAAAGGGGCUAAUAAGCAUCAUUCCCACCUCAAAAUGUUUUUGUGAGGAGAACAUGAAAUAUGAGGUAUGUGAAUUACACACUUUAUGUCUCCCCCUAAACACCAUGAUAUAGUCUGGGAAAAAUAUUCUGUAGAUGGGGAGGAAGGAGAAAAGUUUCUUUUAAAGUAGCAUGUAAAGCAACUGAGAUGUGUCUACGUUUUUGAAUAUUGCCUAUGCUGGACUCCAGUGCCCAGCUCUGUGCCUAACACACAGCAGAUACUUAAUAAAGGUUUGUUUAUUGAUUGAUUGGCUUUGGUU
rnacentral:lncRNA from 1 species